GCCUUGGUGGUGUAGUGGUAGAGCAUACGUCUCUAGAUAGGACGAAACGCGGGUUCAAUUCCCGUCUGAGGCC